UACGAGGGGGGCGAGCGUUGUUCGGAAUUAUUGGGCGUAAAGGGUGCGUAGGCGGCUUUGUAAGUUAGAGGUGAAAGCCCGGGGCUCAACUCCGGAAUUGCCUUUAAGACUGCAUCGCUAGAAUUGUGGAGAGGUAAGUGGAAUUCCGAGUGUAGAGGUGAAAUUCGUAGAUAUUCGGAAGAACACCAGUGGCGAAGGCGACUUACUGGACACAUAUUGACGCUGAGGUGCGAAAGCGUGGGGAGCAAACAGG
rnacentral:rRNA from 1 species